rnacentral:rRNA from 1 species
AUUGAACGCUGGCGGAAUGCUUUACACAUGCAAGUCGAACGGCAGCACGGGGGCAACCCUGGUGGCGAGUGGCGAACGGGUGAGUAAUACAUCGGAACGUGCCCGGUCGUGGGGGAUAACGUAGCGAAAGUUACGCUAAUACCGCAUACGAUCUGAGGAUGAAGGCGGGGGACCUUCGGGCCUCGCGCGAUCGGAGCGGCCGAUGUCAAAUUAGGUAGUUGGUGGGGUAAAGGCCUACCAAGCCGACGAUCUGUAGCUGGUCUGAGAGGACGACCAGCCACACUGGGACUGAGACACGGCCCAGACUCCUACGGGAGGCAGCAGUGGGGAAUUUUGGACAAUGGGCGCAAGCCUGAUCCAGCCAUUCCGCGUGCAGGACGAAGGCCUUCGGGUUGUAAACUGCUUUUGUAUGGAACGAAAAGGCUCUGGCUAAUACCUGGGGCUCAUGACGGUACCGUAAGAAUAAGCACCGGCUAACUACGUG